ACUGCACGAACUAAGCGCAGUUUGCGACCCAGAGCUGGGACAAGUAGGGCUGGCUUCCAGCCGGUGACUGCAGGUAAAGACCUAAAGCCCUUCAACGGGCAGCACGUCGGGAAGGGCUGGCCAGGGCCUGCAGAAGGUGGAACCAAUGGGGCAGCCUCCUGAACUGAGCUGAUGGGAUGAAGUUAGCCGCCAUAGAUACUUCCUGGUCUGUGGAACCUGCAGACGCACUAAAGGGCAAAAGGAACAUUUUCCCGCAGCUGCCGUGGGACUAAAAAGCCCCAAACUUACGAACUGUGAGAUAGGUCUGCUCCUGACAGAACCCAUUUUUGUACUUCAAAGAAAGGUGAGCAUCAAAGACUCUCCCUAUGGAGUUUGCUUCAAAUGUGGCAAGCUACCACUGGGCAAGAAACUGUCUGUGCUUCAACUGCUGACAGAAUGCUGUCCAAAAUGGACAAACUGGGACACAGGGAACUCGGCUGCCAAGCCUUGCAAGAACAAGAUAGGCAAGUCCUUCAUAAUUCCUGCUUCACAGAGAAGUCUGUCAGAUAUACCGGACCAGAGAGCUAAAGAUCGAUGCUCCACGUCAUACAGGAACUUGGGGGGACUGUGACAGCCAGCCUGACAUGUCUAUCGUUUUGGAAGCUGCUUGCCUGCACUUGCUACACAUUCAGGUGGUAUUUAUCCCUUCUCAGGUCCCCGGGGUUGAAGACUAGAUAGUUAUAGUCUCACAAUUAAGCCUGAAUUGUUUAGGAUUUUAAGUUAGUAAUGCAAGUUAUAAUAGAAAUUGAUUUAGGUACAGAACUCUGAACUCACCAACAUAGGGUGGAUAACGGAGUACUUUCUCCAAGGUUUCCAAAACAUAUGGACUGGACAUUAUGGAUGUGAAUCUUACCUGGUAGUUUUCAUAAUUGUUAUUGUAUAACAAUAUGUUAUUGUAUAUUAUGAAAUUAUGUUAUUAUAUGGGAAAUGUAGAGAGAAUCUCUUGUUCACUGUGUAAAAGCAUUCACCUGUCAAUAAAAGGCUGAUUGGCCAGUGAGAUGA